rnacentral:rRNA from 1 species
GAUGAACGCUAGCGGCAGGCUUAACACAUGCAAGUCGAGGGGCAGCACGGGUAGCAAUACUUGGUGGCGACCGGCGCAAGGGUGCGUAACGCGUGAGCAACAUGCCCGUAUUAUGGGAAUAAUCCAGGGAAACUUGGUCUAAUACCCCAUAGCAAUUAGAAGAGGCAUCUUUUUUAAUUUAAAGCUUUGGUGGAUACGGAUUGGCUCGCGUGACAUUAGCUGGAUGGUAAGGUAACGGCUUACCAUGGCUACGAUGUCUAGGGGUUCUGAGAGGAUGAACGGCCACACUGGGACUGAGACACGGCCCAGACUCCUACGGGAGGCUG